rfam:Felis catus isolate Cinnamon breed Abyssinian chromosome A1, whole genome shotgun sequence.
GCCUGGGUGGCUCAGUCGGUUGAGCGUCCGACUUCAGCUCGGGUCACGAUCUCGUGGUCCGCGAGUUCGAGCCCCGCGUCGGGCU